UAAAGCGCUUCUGUUUAUUUGUAGUAAGCUUAGAUUUGCAGACUUCCACUAAAGCUAGCUGUGGUUAGUGGCUAAUGCCGCCUGACAGCACAACAAGGAGGAGCCCUUAGAGUUCCGAUCUGGACCCCACAGGACAACAAUUCCUAUGGUGAAUUUGCUGAAUCUGCUGAAUUUGAUCCACUCGUACCUCAUUCGGUAAACCC
rnacentral:lncRNA from 1 species